CGGACGGGUGAGUAAUACUUAGGAAUCUGCCCAUUAGUGGGGGACAACAUUCGGAAACGGAUGCUAAUACCGCAUACGCCCUACGUGGGAAAGCGGAGGACCUUUCGGGGCUUCGCGCUAAUGGAUGAGCCUAAGUCGGAUUAGCUUGUUGGUGAGGUAAAAGCUCACCAAGGCGACGAUCCGUAGCUGGUCUGAGAGGACGAUCAGCCACACUGGGACUGAGACACGGCCCAG
rnacentral:rRNA from 1 species